GUCGGUGUUGAUUGGCGCGAGGGUCCACCUGUUCCCAUACCGAACACAGAAGUUAAGCUCGUGAUCGCCGAAAAUACUUGCCGGGCGACUGGCCGGGAAAAUAGGGAAUGCCGACA
rnacentral:rRNA from 2 species